rnacentral:misc_RNA from 1 species
GAUGAAGAACGUAGCGAAAUGCGAUAAGUAAUGCGAAUUGCAGAAUUCCGUGAGUCAUCGAAUCUUUGAACGCACAUUGCGCCCUCUGGUAUUACGGAGGGCAUGCCUGUCUGAGCGUCAUUGUCAACCCUCAAGCUCAGCUUGCUGUUGGGUCCCCGUCGUUGCUUUAACGGCGGACCCGAAAGGUAAUGGCAGAGUCCGUGAGACCCUAGACGCAGCGAGCUUCUAGCACGCGUCUGGACGUUUUUCGGGCUCGGUCUUAACUAGAUGAUAACUUCCGAUUGACCUCAGAUCAGGUAGGGAUACCCGCUGAACUUAAGCAUAUCAAUAAGCGGAGGA